rnacentral:rRNA from 1 species
GACGGAGGAUGCAAGUGUUAUCCGGAAUUAUUGGGCGUAAAGCGUCUGUAGGUUGCCUAACAAGUCUGUUGUUAAAGGUUAAAGCUUAACUUUAAAACUGCAGCAGAAACUGCUAGGCUUGAGUACAGUCGAAGUAGAGGGAAUUUCCAGUGAAGCGGUGAAAUGCGUAGAUAUUGGAAGGAACACCAAUGGCGAAAGCACUCUACUAGACUUUUACUGACACUCAGAGACGAAAGCUAGGGUAGCAAAUGGGAUUAGAUACCCCAGUAGUCCUAGCUGUAAACGAUGGGGACUAAACUUUGGUUUUAAACAGAGUUAAAGCUAACGCGUUAAGUCCCCCGCCUGGGGAGUACGCCCGCAAGAGUG